rnacentral:rRNA from 1 species
UACGUAGGGUCCGAGCGUUGUCCGGAAUUAUUGGGCGUAAAGAGCUCGUAGGCGGUUUGUCGCGUCUGCUGUGAAAUCUGGAGGCUCAACCUCCAGCCUGCAGUGGGUACGGGCAGACUAGAGUGCGGUAGGGGAGAAUGGAAUUCCUGGUGUAGCGGUGGAAUGCGCAGAUAUCAGGAGGAACACCGAUGGCGAAGGCAGUUCUCUGGGCCGUAACUGACGCUGAGGAGCGAAAGCGUGGGGAGCGAAUGGG